rnacentral:lncRNA from 1 species
CAUGGCGCCACUAGGUCCAUCCCCACUCGCUCCUCUUGGUCUUCCCACUGCUUUUGAAUCCGAGUGGACACAGAAAUAUCAGUGGGCAAGUGGCGUCAACAUUGGGACCUAUAGAUCAAGAUUCCCCAAGCUGGAUGAACCUGUGGUUGACCAGCAGCCCAGUGUUGAGCAACCUCAACAAGAGGAACUGCCAGCUGAGAUUCAGGAUAUCACACCUGGGAAGGAGGAAGUAAAUGGAGAGGAUCCGGUGAAUCAUAAUGAAGAGAAGGAGAAGGAUGCCUCUGGAGAUUCUCACCUGGAAACUGAUCUCCAGGAAUUGGCUGAGGCUAAGACUGGGGGUAAAGGUGGAGAUGGUCCUGAUGUCAGGGAGGAGGUUGCAUCAAAUACAGAGCCUGUUGAAAUGCCAGAAGCAGGUACGUCAUCCAUUCAGAAAGUAAUUUAUGUGGUUUCUGUUUUUUCAGAAUAUUAUAUCUUUACUAAUAUAGAGGGAACAUUACUAUUAUUUUAAUAACAGAGUUCACAUAUUCUUUGAAAGAUAGUUCAGACCCCAGAUGCCUGAGUGCCUGACUUACAGACUUUCAAAUAAAGAAACAGAGAGGAUCA